CCCGGAAAUGAGGCAAGGUCCCUCCACCCCACAGUAGGGCAGGACACACACUCUGAGCUGUUUAACCCUGUAAGCUCAGGUUCUCCUCACAAAGGAAUCUCACCGUUGCAUUCUGCACCCGCUGGAGUUUCUGGGUCAGCUUCACGGCCAGCCCCGCGUAGAGCGAGUUACAGUAAUCAAGGCUGGAGGUGACUGUUGCAUGGAUCAUUGUGGCCAGAUCAGGGCGAGAAAGGUAAGGGACCAACUGCUUGAAAUGGCAGAGAUGGGAAAAUGCCACCUUUGCUGUGGCUGAAACCUGCGCCUCCAUGGAAAGGGAGGCUUCAAAGGUUACACCCAAGCUCUUGACAGAAGGCGCUGGCACUAAUUUGAGCCCCCACAAGAGAUGUGAGUUGGCCCCCCAACCCCAUGUUGUCCCGACCCAGCCAAAGGACCUGUCUUCGAAGGAUUUAACUUCAACCGGCUCCCAUGCAGCCAUCCAGCCACAGUUUCCAAGCAUCUGGUCAGUGUGUCCAGGCCGAGUCAGGGCGGCCGUCCAUCAACAGAUAAAGCUGGGUGUCAUCAGCAUAUUGAUGACAACCCAGCCCAAACCCCCAGACAAUCUGGGCAAGAUACUGAAGAUACUGAAAAGCAUCGGGGAAAGGAUUGCGCCCAGUGGGACUCCACACACCAAGGAGUGCCGCGGCGACAACUCCCUCCCUAGCGCCACCCUCUGUCCCCGACCUGAGAUAAAGGAGUGCAGCCAUUGUUGGACUGUGCCCUGAAUCCCCACAUCAGCAAGGCAGUGGUCCAAAAGUUUGUGACCGACCAUAUCGAAGGCUGCUGACAUGUAAAUGCAUGAUCUUUAAAUCUCUAGACAAAAGGGACAAAUUGUUGCUUUAGAUAUGCUAUUAAAGUUAAAAUGGAAUGUAACCAAACCAAAGGUGAGAAAAAAAGUUUUUGGAAAGGAAGAGAUGUGUGGAAAAAUGCUAAAUGUCAUCUCAGUAUGUAAACCAAAAUAGUAGCUUUUAAAGGGGGAAAUGACUUCAUUUCCCAUCUAAUAAUUUCAUUAAAAGAUGCAAACUUGUCAAAAGUUCUAGAUUCCUUCAUAGAGAAAAUUGGUUUUUAAAAACCACACAGACUUUGUUUUCCUUUCUGACUGCUAACAGUUCAAAGCUUUCAAAAGCAGAAUUUACAUCAAAUGAUAUUAUAUUUUUGCCUAACUUGCUGCUUCAACUGUUUCCAGAUCCUUGAUCAUCUUGAUUGCCCUCCGCUGCACAUGUUCCAACUUGUCAAUAUCCUUCUUAAAUUGCAGCACCCAGAACUGGACACAGAAUUCCAGGUGUGGCCUGACCAAGGCAGAAUACAGUGGUACUAUGACUUCCCUUGAUCUGGACACUACUUCUGUUGAUGCAGCCUAGAAUAGCAUUAGCUUUUUUGUAGAUGCA